UACGGGGGGGGCAAGCGUUGUUCGGAAUUACUGGGCGUAAAGGGCUCGUAGGUGGCCAACUAAGUCAGACGUGAAAUCCCUCAGCUUAACUGGGGAACUGCGUCUGAUACUGGAUGGCUUGAGUUUGGGAGAGGGACGCGGAAUUCCAGGUGUAGCGGUGAAAUGCGUAGAUAUCUGGAGGAACACCGGUGGCUAAGGCGGCGUCCUGGACCAACACUGACACUGAUGAGCGAAAGCCAGGGGAGCAAACGGG
rnacentral:rRNA from 1 species